rnacentral:rRNA from 1 species
UGAGUACGAGCUGCUACGGCAGCGAAGUGGGUGAUGUCAUGCUUCCAAGAAAAGCCCUAUACCCGUUAAGGCAUGAUGGCCUGUACCCGAAACCGACACAGGUGGGGUGGUAGAGAAUACCGAGGGGCGCGAGGUAACUCUCUCUAAGGAACUCGGCAAAAUGGCCCCGUAACUUCGGGAGAAGGGGUGCCACCGCAAGGUGGUCGCAGUGAAGAGGCCCAGGCGACUGUUUACCAAAAACACAGGUCUCCGCUAAGUCGCAAGACGAUGUAUGGGGGCUGACGCCUGCCCAGUGCCGGAAGGUUAAGGAAGCUGGUCAGCGUAAGCGAAGCUAGCGACUGAAGCCCCGGUGAACGGCGGCCGUAACGAUAACGGUCCUAAGGUAGCGAAAUUCCUUGUCGGGUAAGUUCCGACCCGCACGAAAGGCGUAACGAUCUGGGCGCUGUCUCGGAGAGAGGCUCGGCGAAAUAGAAUUGUCUGUGAAGAUGCGGACUACGUGCACCCGGACAGAAAGACCCUAUGAAGCUUUACUGUAGCUUGGUAUUGUGCUCGGGCUCGGAAUGCGCAGGAUAGGUGGGAGGCUAUGAACCAUUGCUUGCGGGUGAUGGUGAGCCACUGGUGAGAUACCACUCUUUCCGAGCUAGAGUUCUAACAGCCACCCGUUAUCCGGGGGCUGGACAGUAUCAGGUGGGCAGUUUGACUGGGGCGGUCGCCUCCUAAAAGGUAACGGAGGCGCGCAAAGGUUUGCUCAGGCUGGUUGGAAAUCAGCCGACGAGUGUAAAAGCAGAAGCAAGCUUGACUGUGAGACCUACAAGUCGAACAGGGAGGAAACUCGGCUUUAGUGAUCCGACGGUUCUGCGUGGAAGGGCCGUCGCUCAACGGAUAAAAGUUACUCUAAGGAUAACAGGCUGAUCUCCCCCAAGAGUUCACAUCGACGGGGAGGUUUGGCACCUCGAUGUCGGCUCAUCGCAACCUGGGGCUGAAGUCGGUCCCAAGGGUUGGGCUGUUCGCCCAUUAAAGCGGUACGCGAGCUGGGUUCAGAACGUCGUGAGACAGUUCGGUCCAUAUCCGGUGCAUGCGCAGGAAUAUUGAGAGGAUUUCUCCCUAGUACGAGAGGACCGGGAGGAACGCACCUCUGGUGUACCAGUUAUCGUGCCAACGGUAAACGCUGGGUAGCCAUGUGCGGAGAGGAUAACCGCUGAAAGCAUCUAAGUGGGAAGCCCACCUCAAGAUGAGUAUUCCCAUGGGGUAACCCAGUAAGGUCACGGGAAGAACACCCGCUGAUAGGCUCUACGUGGAAGCGCAGUAAUGUGUGAAGCGGAGGAGUACUAAUAGACCGAGGCUUGAUC